UCGACCAAACUUAUGUAUUCAAAAUCAAAUAAAAUAGGUAGAAUAAAAAAAAAAAAAAAAAAAAAAAAACUAAUACAAAAAUACAUACAUUUAAGGAGAGAAUAUGUUACUGUAAGUGUUGAUUUUGCCAUGCUGGUAUUGAUCAUCCAAUAUUAUCAACCCAGUAUCGCUACUAACUAUUUUGGAUCAACCUCUAGUUUCUGCAUAUGUUUCUCAAUCGUAAUCAUCUUGAUAUGGUUUGUGUGUCUACAUGCAUGUUUUCCGCCUAAUGUUUAGCAAAUAAUUGGUGCAAGAGCCUCUUAAUACUUUUGUGAAGGAUUUUGCAUCACAACCACAAAGAAACAGAAACGUUUUAAUAUAGAAACUGGUUCUGCAGCUUUACACUUCAUAAAUUUGGAAGGAAAUUACACCCAAAAACCUAUGAAACACAGUAAAUCAGGUGCAAUCACAGCCCAAAUUGUCAGAAAAGAAACUUGACUAAAUGUUUAGUUCACAGACACCUACAUUUCCCUCUUUUGCAAUUUUGCUUGGAGCUGAUCUUGCUGAGAACAAUCACACAGUGACUCAUGCCUUGAGUGGGCCUAUGUUAGAUUAAUGAAACAGUAAGCUGCAAAGGUAGAGUUAAAAUCGUGUUACAGUCCCCUGUCGUAUACUCUCUGUGAACUCUGGUCUUUAGUUCUCUGUUGGUUUUUCAAUUUUUAGAAGCUAAAGUUGGAAAAAUUUGGAUAUUUGCAUUGCUUUUCACCAACAUCUUUAUUUUUGUACUGGAAAGGAGGCUGCUUGUGAAGUGGCAAAUGUCAAGUUAGAGCCGGCAACUUCUGAGAGCUAUAAAAAAAUAAAUAAACAAAAAAUAAAUCUUGUUCCUGGAAUUUCAUCCUGUUGUCCUAAUUUCCUCCACCUUCUUCUCAUUUCUUUCUCCAGACUAUUUUGGCUGAGGAAUUAAUCUGCCGUUGGUGUGCGCCUCUGUAAUUACAGUGGAAGCCCAUUGCUGGUUGGCCUGUGCAUGCCGAUGCUUACAGCUGGCACCCCAGUGUCGUCAGCGUGAUGAUGAAAAACUAGGGGAAAAGAAAGCAAGAUGGAUGGAUAUCUCAGUUCUUCUAAACAUGGUCCUGCAUGGUCAAAGUGAUGCACAAUUGGGAUCAGCUACGAAAGUGGAAGCUGCUAAAAGGACAGCAGAGUUUGCCUGAAACAAAAGAGCACGACUCAAGAUAAAAUCAAAUUUAUAACAAAUAUAAAAGAGCUCAAAUCAGGGGACAGCACCAAGAAGAUUACUGAAACCACUUCAUAAUACAGAGAGACAAAGAUAAACUGUUUUAUAUUGUAAUGAGGUAAUGAGAGAAAAUGACUCAAACCCCCAAAUUAACAUUAAUAAGGCACAAACAGAUUCACAACAGUGUCCUGACCAGAUGUUCAGACCUUCAUCUUUAUGGAAGCAUUUUAUUUGCUGCUAGAAGAUAUGCAGACACAGUAAGCAAAGCGAUUUUGGUGUCCAUGAAGACGACCCAACUCACUCCUCUCCAAUAGGAGAACCUGACGUUCGCUGAAUGAAUGAAAUUCUCUGAGUGUGAGUGUUUCCAGAACAGUGGAAUUAGUUCUCCGUUUGAUCCCCUGUUGUGGAUUACUCAGUGUUAUAUGGUAGUGCUUGUGUAUAAGA